GUCAUACAAGGAUCAGACAUAAUUUGUCAUGUAUAGAUGUUAUAUGGAAAUCCAACAAACAAAAUUUCCCAUUGAUGAAAUUAUUUGAGAAAACAGUGCGCUCCUCGACAUCUACCGCAGCUCAAUUGAUGCAACGAAUACAGAUCCCAAGAGCCCGCAGGAUAGCAGCCCAACAAAUUCAAGUGGAUGUGCGAAAACAUGCAUGUAAAACCAACACAGGACUGUCACUGUUACAUCCCAGAAAAUUUUGAGUUGGGGAUACAGCAGGUAAUGGGAGCUAUAGGGCAAGCCAAAUCGUCACUCUAAUUUUUUGCGCGAACUGCGGCACGCCACAUUGAAGCAGGGUUUCUUUCUAGAGGAACCAAGGGACGGACCCCGUGCAAUACAUCGAAGAACAAGAUGAUCGAGGGCUAGUUGAACAAUAUAGACAUCUUUCAAGACAAACCUGUUGGUGCUCUUCCGAAAUACCCAGAGCGAGAGGGGAGCUAAGGCGUCCCUUUGAGCACCGGGGAGGUUGCCACGGAGCCAUCAGAAGUGACAAGCAAACGCCUUCAAGCCAGAACACCAAUCCAACAGGUCACCAGCAGAUUCAUAACACAUGGGGCAAAAGCUUUUUGUCAAGUAUAUCGUCGAUUCUGAUCCACCUACUCUGUUGUUUGAUGAGUGGAUAGACAUCAGCAAGGAUUCAGAUUACAAAACUGUAUAUAGUACAUGUUAAAGAAGAUAGACGUGAUGAUUACCCGUUGCACAUAGGAGCGUCCUAAAACCUGAUCAAGAUACUGUC
rnacentral:lncRNA from 1 species